rnacentral:rRNA from 1 species
AUUGAACGCUGGCGGCAGGCCUAACACAUGCAAGUCGAGCGGUAACAGGGGAAGCUUGCUUCCCGCUGACGAGCGGCGGACGGGUGAGUAAUGUAUGGGGAUCUGCCCGAUAGAGGGGGAUAACCACUAGAAACGGUGGCUAAUACCGCAUAAUCUCUUAGGAGCAAAGCAGGGGAACUUCGGUCCUUGCGCUAUCGGAUGAACCCAUAUGGAAUUAGCUAGUAGGUGGGGUAAUGGCUCACCUAGGCGACGAUCCCUAGCUGGUCUGAGAGGAUGAUCAGCCACACUGGGACUGAGACACGGCCCAGACUCCUACGGGAGGCAGCA